rnacentral:rRNA from 1 species
AUUGAACGCUGGCGGCAUGCUUUACACAUGCAAGUCGAACGGUAACAGGGAGCUUGCUCCGCUGACGAGUGGCGAACGGGUGAGUAAUAUAUCGGAACGUACCCAAGAGUGGGGGAUAACGUAGCGAAAGUUACGCUAAUACCGCAUACGAUCUAAGGAUGAAAGCAGGGGACCUUCGGUCCUUUUGCUCCUGUAGCGGCCGAUAUCUGAUUAGCUAGUUGGUGAGGUAAAGGCUCACCAAGGCGACGAUCAGUAGCUGGUCUGAGAGGACGACCAGCCACACUGGAACUGAGACACGGUCCAGACUCCUACGGGAGGCAGCAGUGGGGAAUUUUGGACAAUGGGCGCAAGCCUGAUCCAGCAAUGCCGCGUGAGUGAAGAAGGCCUUCGGGUUGUAAAGCUCUUUUGUCAGGGAAGAAAAGGGAUUGGCUAAUAUCCAGACCUAAUGACGGUACCUGAAGAAUAAGCACCGGCUAACUACGUG